UCUACCUUUCCGAUAAUACCCUUAGCACAUUCACAUAUUCACCCAUUUAGCCUUCUCCCAAUUUACUUGUUGCACAUAAGACAAACCCUAUUACAUUUCACAAAUCCAAAUAAUUUUUCCUUAAUUUUCUCUUUGGAGAGAGAAAUUAAAAUUCUCAAACAACGAAUCUGCAGCUCCAUCGAUCAGAAUAUUGCUUCAAUUUCAAGGGUUGUGCAACUUGUGGGCAUAUGAGAUCUUACAGGCCAUCUACUUUGAAUGCUCAUUAUAAGAUGCGUUUUGAGGCUAUGCGAACGAAAGAAAAGAGUAAACCUGAGAGAAGAGUACAUGGCGUAGCCAUCCACGAUGAUGCUGGACGGAAGGACUUCUGUGAUAUCUCUUUGAGGAUGCUGAAGAGAGCAUCCCCCUAUAGCUCAACUGUUUUGGAUGCAUAUACUGGAACACAGAAUGUUAAUGCUGUAGGUAGGGAAGGUAAGAGACAAAGAGUGGAUCAAGCCACUUUCAGGAGAAAGGUAGAUGCUUUUGCUUACCCGGGAGUUAGUCCCAUUGAGAAAUGCACACACAAUACCUUUUACAAAGGAGUAAGUGGAUAUUAUGACUUGAACAGAGCUAAAGUCAAUACUGCUGUUACUGGCUCUAAUAUUGCUGCGAGUUCAGAAGAUAAUGAUUUUGAUUGUGAUGCUUCUUCUGUCGGGAGUUGUAGUGCUAGCAGUAUGAGGGCAGAUAAGUUUUCUAAUUUUGCUGUAGCAGUUCCUUUCCUAGGUACAGAUAUGCUUUCCACUGAUGCUGAAUCUUAUUGCCGUUCCUUUGAUGAAGUGGAGAAUCUCUCUCAUUGUUCCGAAGAAAGUGUAGAAGUAAGUAUUCAUAAGUUAGAGUUGCAUGCUUAUCGCUGCACUCUGGAGGCAUUAUAUGCUUCUGGCCCAUUAAGUUGGGAUAAAGAACUAUUAUUGACUAAUCUCCGCAUUAUGCUCCAUAUUUCCAAUGAUGAACAUUUGACAGAGCUGAAGAACCUUAUUCCGUCUGGUAGUACUCAAUAGCCUCUCCAGAUAUUAUUCUUUCUAUCGACAGAGGAUCUUAUAUUGUCCCUUUUCUUUACUCAACUGUAUGUCAAGCAAGAUAACUUAAUGUACUUGGUUUAUCCUUCUUGGAUAAUCAAAUUUGGUCCAUCUAUAGAGUUCCUGACAAUGUAAUUAGGUGUCAACAAUUUUCAAAGAAGUGAAUGUAUUUAGAUUGGUUCUUGUUUACUCCUUUUUUGUUUUUAGCAGGUUAUGCUUGAUAUACUUACUGUAAUUGAGAUGCAUAUCAGGUGAUGGAACAAUUUUUUUAAGCUUUAAGCUUAAAGCAGUAGAAGACCUGGUGCAGGUUAUUGAAAUCAUAGUGUCUGAUCUAGUGUUACUACUGCAGAUUAAACAUAUGAUCCAUGAUUAUUCUUGCAGAUAAGAUAGAAUACUUUUUUAGCAUUUCCAUUUUUCCUUAAAGAUGAAUUGAAUCAUGCAGCUUCCAAGAACUAUGUCUGUAAUUCAAGUAUGUUCAUUUUUCUUUGAAACUAGGUUUUAGCACCUUAUUUUUUGUUUGGUCCGUUGCAUCCAUUGUCAAUGCCAAUUCAGAAACUAACUGAAUUGAACAGCUAGUUCAAAACUGUUCAUUGGUAUAUUUUGGGAAAGGGAAGCUUCAGUUGACUACCGGCCUUGUGGCCUACAAUUGAAUAGAACUCUCAGACAUUUGUUUAAUAAGUUAAUACUUGCUGUGUGCUAAACCUCCUUGGAUUGUAUUCAAUGUUGAAUAUUGGCCACUUUUGUAAGUAUGGUGAGCUUCAGAGUCUUUGCAGUCCACAGCAUUUGCGGAUGUUUAAUAAGCAUCAAAUGUAUGAGAUAUUCUGUGCAGUUUAGCUUGAUUCAAUCUAAUUGUUUGAUAAUGUGUGUAUGAUCUUUUUGAUAUGUUAUUGACAGUACUCUUUCCCAGGGCUGCAUUCUGAAGCAUGCAUCCCCUGCCUAGUUGCUUCCAAAGUUUUGAUGGUGAUGCAGGCAUUUGGCUAAUCAACCUCAUUAAAUUGUUCUGCCCAACCUUACCUAUUUUUGUGAUAGCAUCAACAUUUUUUCUGCUGAGGGAAGUUAAUGAUUGUUAUCUGCUACUCCUCCCUGAUUGUAUAUAUAUUGUUAGUUUGGCUAAUUAUUGGUUUCUUUGCAUGUGUUUGCUUAGAUGCAUUAAAGUUCAUUUUGUCUUUUAUUUUCAUUCGACUAUUGGAUUUCUACUAUAACACUAACGGCUUAAAUUUGCUUUUGACUAUUAACAAGUGAGGAAGUGACCUUGCUUCCAUGUUCAUGGUGCUGUGGAAAGCAAUUAAACUAAGCUUUUCAGAAUGGAAAUGAUUUGAAUUGCCUUGUACAUUGUCCAUCGAUUUUCCGGUUUUCUUCAAAGGCGAGAGAGAUGAAAUACUUUAGUAAAUCAUUUGAAAUGCCUUGCAUAUGUUUGCUUCUAUUGCUUUCAAAAGUGGUCUUUUUCAGUUGAGAGAUCUAUUGUGUACUGCUCGUGCUGUAGUUGAGGAGAAUUUAAUUCAUUGUGUAAUACAAAGACACGAAGUUAUGUGAAACAUGGGGUUAGGGUUGGGAUCUUCAACUAUAAGAGGUCCCCUGCACUUGCAAUUUGGCCAGAUUUAUUAUUCCAUUGCAGAAUCGGGCUAGUCAUGUGUUUCUGUUGUUUUUGUUUUGAAAUUUAAGUAGUUGGUGGUUUGCAACCAUCUUUUGCAAAAAUCCCUUGAAUAAUGUUUAAAGUGCUCUCUUUGUGAAGUGCCUAGAAACUAGGGUUGAAACGAAUUGAUCUUUUUGGCAUACUGGUGUUCGCCUUUUCCUUUUUCUUGUUUUGUUGGCAAAUGACUCGGCAGACAUUUAACUAUUGGUGCUGAUUAUGCUUCUGGAAAUUGGAUGCUUUUGAUAACCUUGAAUAUGAGCAGAUCUUAGCACGAUUGAUGUGUUUUCUAGGGGUGGAAUGAAUUUUUCUAUCUUCUUGUUCAACUGUACUGAUUAAGGGUUUCCUUAUAUCAGGGCAGGAAAGUUGAAAAGUUCAAAGGUUUGAAUGAGGCUUAUAAGGAGUUGAGCAUCUCCAGUUUCUUUUUGUCCCGAACGAAGAGAACCAAUGGCAGAACUGCUCAAUUCUCUUGCAGCUGCUUGUUUUGCGAUUCACUAGCACGAUUAAAGUUGGAGACUUGAAGGCUGACAGCAUGUUGCCUCUUGGAAGAUCUGGAUGUGCCCAGGUGCAAUGUAGCUGUCAGUCUUCAUUUGUACGACUUUUCAUAGAAUAAUUGUUUCGCGUUCACUUUCGCAAUUGUGAAUAUUGGCAGUUUAGUCCCCACGAAGAGCUGUGACAUCCUGGACAGACAUUAACCUAUUAACUUCUAUCUUUUAGUUCAGCAACUAAUAUUAGCUCUGGCUUGUAUAAUCAGCAAGAUAGACUAUCCUGAUGGCUUGCAAUCACAAGGAAGUUAAAAACUAAUAAAGACGCCUAAUUUUGGGUACCU